GUCAGCAGCCAUAUCACCCUGCAACUCACAACUGGCAACCCACUGAAGCUAAGAAGGUGUGAGCCUGGUCAGUACCUAGAUGUGAGACCUCCUGGGAAAAACUAAGGUUGCUGCUGGAA
rnacentral:rRNA from 1 species